CCUACGGGGGGCAGCAGUGAGGAAUAUUGGUCAAUGGGCGAGAGCCUGAACCAGCCAAGUCGCGUGAGGGAGUACUGCCCUAUGGGUUGUAAACCUCUUUUGUCGGGGAGCAAAAGCCGGACGUGUUCGGCUGUGAGAGUACCCGAAGAAAAAGCAUCGGCUAACUCCGUGCCAGCAGCCGCGGUAAUACGGAGGAUGCGAGCGUUAUCCGGAUUUAUUGGGUUUAAAGGGUGCGCAGGCGGAUUUUUAAGUCAGCGGUAAAAUCGUGGGGCUCAACCCCAUCCAGCCGUUGAAACUGGGGAUCUAGAGUGUGCGAGAGGUAUGCGGAAUGCGUGGUGUAGCGGUGAAAUGCAUAGAUAUCACGCAGAACCCCGAUUGCGAAGGCAGCAUACCGGUGCACAACUGACGCUCAGGCACGAAAGCGUGGGUAUCGAACAGGAUUAGAUACCCUGGUAGUC
rnacentral:rRNA from 1 species